rnacentral:rRNA from 1 species
GAUGAACGCUGGCGGCGUGCUUAACACAUGCAAGUCGAACGGAGGACCCCUGAAGGAGUUUUUGGACAACUGAAGGGAAUCCUUAGUGGCGGACGGGUGAGUAACGCGUGAGUAACCUGCCUUGGAGUGGGGAAUAACAGUUGGAAACAGCUGCUAAUACCGCAUGAUGCAGUUGGGUCGCAUGGCUCUGACUGCCAAAGAUUUAUCGCUCUGAGAUGGACUCGCGUCUGAUUAGCUAGUUGGCGGGGUAACGGCCCACCAAGGCGACGAUCAGUAGCCGGACUGAGAGGUUGGCCGGCCACAUUGGGACUGAGACACGGCCCAG